AUCUUCCGCAAUGGGCGAAAGCCUGACGGAGCAACGCCGCGUGAACGAAGAAGGCCUUCGGGUCGUAAAGUUCUGUCCUCAGGGAAGAACCCUCAUGGGAGGAAAUGCCCAUGAGCUGACGGUACCUGGGAAGGAAGCCCUGGCUAACUACGUGCCAGCAGCCGCGGUAAUACGUAGAGGGCAAGCGUUGUCCGGAAUUACUGGGCGUAAAGGGUACGCAGGCGGAUAUAUAAGUCAAAUGUGAAAGGCACCGGCUCAACCGGUGAGCGGCAUUUGAAACUGUAUAUCUUGAGUUCAGGAGAGGAGAGCGGAAUUCCUGGUGUAGCGGUGGAAUGCGUAGAUAUCAGGAAGAACACCAGUGGCGAAGGCGGCUCUCUGGCCUGAAACUGACGCUCAGGUACGAAAGCUGGGGGAGCGAACGGG
rnacentral:rRNA from 1 species